AAGUCGUAACAAGGUUUCCGUAGGUGAACCUGCGGAAGGAUCAUUAACACGUAUCCAACGUUAAACCCCCCUGUGAACCUUUAGUGUGCUCCCUCAUUCUGUUGGAACGUGGCAAUCCCUGGUAAAUCAUCGCCGAACAGUUUUGAUUCAGGGACUUCUGCAAAGAGUGCUGGUUGUAGCGCGAGGCAAGUGGCCUGGCAUUCCUCUGCUUGUUAGUGUCUGAAAGUGUCACUGGCUCUGUAAGAAUGGCGCAGUCACGAUCGCUAGAGGCCGACACGGCCGGCGACCGGGUCAGUGAGCUCUGCUCCCGCUGUUACGUCAAACCCCAUGUUCCCCUCUAGUGAAAGCUAUUGGGUUAUAACUAAACGACUGUUAACAAUGGAUAUCUCGAUUCUC
rnacentral:misc_RNA from 1 species